UACGUAGGGGGCAAGCGUUGUCCGGAUUUAUUGGGCGUAAAGAGCGUGUAGGCGGCCUUACAGGUCAGCUGUGAAAACUCGAGGCUCAACCUCGAGACGUCGGUUGAAACCGUCUGGCUAGAGUCCGGAAGAGGAGAGUGGAAUUCCCGGUGUAGCGGUGAAAUGCGCAGAUAUCGGGAAGAACACCCGUGGCGAAGGCGGCUCUCUGGGACGGUACUGACGCUGAGACGCGAAAGCGUGGGGAGCGAACGAGG
rnacentral:rRNA from 1 species